CAUAUAUGUAAUGCUCUACUGAGGAAUACCUGAUGUCUCCUCAUCUAUAGGCAAAAAUAAUCAAGCAUAAUGAAUUAAUUUCUCUUCUAAUAGUGGAGGCUAGCAAUUUCCUCCAUAAGAAAGGAAAAUGUCUCAGUAGCAGCUUCAUAUAUUCUUACCUCUUGCUAAUAACAUUCUUCCCACAACGUUUCUUUUUAAAUUUUACUGCGCACUUAAAAAGCAUCAUUUUAUUUUAUUUUGUUGAUCAUUGUAUACACAUUGUGUAUUUUCUCAUUCUUCUAAUUCUCUUUUCAGAUGCAGGAAGUCAGUUUUAAAAUAAUAAUAGUAGUAUUUGAAAAUAAGAAAGCAGACAAAUGGCAAAGGUUGGCAAACACGUUGCCUAUUUACUUCAUAGAGACCCCAAUGGAGAACAAGGUGGGUGAUGAUUCAUGCUCAAUGGUUUCCACAAUAUGUUGAACACGACAAUAGCAGCUAACAUAAAGU
rnacentral:lncRNA from 1 species